rnacentral:tRNA from 1 species
GUGAUUGUGGCUCAGUGGCAGAGCACUCACCUACCAGGUGCGGGGCCCUGGGUUCAAUCCUCAGUAUCACA